AUCAGCCUGCAUGGAUACAAAAUAGACAGUUUACACUCGACUAGUUUUCUCUCAGUUUGAUCCUCGAUCUUUGAUAAGUAUUACCGUUCGCUAUUCCACAAUUUGUUGAAAGAAAGCUCGUAGAAUGCAUAGUUUUAAUAUGUACCCACUUUAAAUCUCACUAGGAAAGUUUUAUUUAUCGUAAACUAAUAAAACUCGAAAACGUCGCGCCUUCCCGCUGCCAUGUUUGGCAAAAUCAAUCGGCUCCGCUCCCCCCGGAUUGAAAACUAAAUUAUUACGAAAUGUCCAAUAUUUUUGGACACACGUGACCAGUGUUUACCAGGGCCUUUGCUUCC